rnacentral:rRNA from 1 species
AGUAAGGAAUAUUGGUCAAUGGACGAAAGUCUGAACCAGCCAUGCCGCGUGAAGGAUGAAGGUCCUCUGGAUUGUAAACUUCUUUUAUAUGGGGCGAAAAAAGGCCUUUCUAGGUCGUCUGACGGUACCAUAUGAAUAAGCACCGGCUAACUCCGUGCCAGCAGCCGCGGUAAUACGGAGGGUGCAAGCGUUAUCCGGAUUCACUGGGUUUAAAGGGUGCGUAGGUGGGUUGGUAAGUCAGUGGUGAAAUCUCCGGGCUUAACUCGGAAACUGCCAUUGAUACUAUUAAUCUUGAAUACCGUGGAGGUUGGCGGAAUAUGUCAUGUAGCGGUGAAAUGCUUAGAUAUGACAUAGAACACCAAUUGCGAAGGCAGCUGGCUACACGGAUAUUGACACUGAGGCACGAAAGCGUGGGGAUCAAACAGGAUUAGAUACCCUGGUAGUCCACGCCCUAAACUAUGGAUACUCGACAUUUGCGAUAAACUGUAAGUGUCUGAGCGAAAGCAUUAAGUAUCCCACCUGGGAAGUACGA